CUGAGGUCAUGGCUUUGUGUUUGUCUGUCACUGAGGUCAUGGCUUUGUGUUUGUUUAUCACUGAGGUCAUGGCUUUGUGUAUGUUUAUCACUGAGGUCAUGGCUUUGUGUUUGUCUGUCACUGAGGUCAUGGCUUUGUGUUUGUUUAUCACUGAGGUCAUGGCUUUGUGUUUGUUUAUCACUGAGGUCAUGGCUUUGUGUUUGUCUGUCACUGAGGUCAUGGCUUUGUGUUUGUCUGUCACUGAGGUCAUGGCUUUGUGUUUGUCUGUCACUGAGGUCAUGGCUUUGUGUUUGUCUGUCACUGAGGUCAUGGCUUUGUGUUUGUCUGUCACUGAGGUCAUGGCUUUGUGUUUGUCUGUCACUGAGGUCAUGGCUUUGUGUUUGUCUGUCACUGAGGUCAUGGCUUUGUGUUUGUUUGUCACUGAGGUCAUGGCUUUGUGUUUGUUUGUCACUGAGGUCAUGGCUUUGUGUUUGUUUGUCACUGAGGUCAUGGCUUUGUGUUUGUUUGUCACUGAGGUCAUGGCUUUGUGUUUGUUUAUCACUGAGGUCAUGGCUUUGUGUGUGUUUGU